CGUAGUGCAAGCGCCUGCAGCUUCCUAAGAAGGUGAAUGGAGAGUGCUCGUGAGUCUUGUCCCAGGCGUUUGUUGCCACCAAUAGAAAUUCCUCCGUUUCCCAGCCAGCUGAUUCCAGCUGUGUUGUCCGAAUUGAGCAAACCUGAUUCUUCCCUACAGGAAUUAUUUGUAGAGUGUAAAUAUGCUAAUGUUAAGUAAGACAGCAGGAGCUAUUCCCAGACCACCAAGGAGUAACGUUCGUGGAUUUUUAAGAAGAUUUAAUGUUCAACCUAGAGCACUUUUUCAUCAUAAACUGGUGCUGGGAAUUGAAACCAGCUGUGAUGACACAGCAGCUGCUGUGGUGGAUGAAACUGGAAAUGUGCUGGGAGAAGCACUGCACUCCCAGACGGAAGUCCAUCUGAAAACAGGUGGGAUUGUUCCUCCAGUGGCUCAACAGCUUCACAGAGAAAACAUUCAGCGAAUAGUAGAGGAAGCUCUUUCUGCCAGUGGGGUCUCCCCAAGCGACCUCUCAGCAAUUGCAACUACCAUCAAACCAGGACUGGCCCUAAGCCUGGGGGUUGGCUUAUCCUUUAGCGUACAGCUAGUAAAUCAGUUUAAAAAGCCAUUCAUCCCAAUCCAUCACAUGGAGGCUCACGCACUGACUAUUAGGCUGACCCACAAAGUAGAAUUUCCUUUUUUAGUUCUUUUGAUUUCUGGAGGCCACUGCCUGUUGGCGUUAGUUCAGAGUGUUUCAGAUUUUCUGCUCCUCGGGAAGUCUCUGGACAUAGCGCCAGGCGACAUGCUUGACAAGGUGGCAAGAAGACUUUCUUUAAUCAAACAUCCAGAAUGUUCUACAAUGAGUGGUGGGAAAGCUAUAGAACAUUUGGCCAAAGAAGGAAAUAGAUUCCACUUUACUAUCAAUCCACCCAUGCAGAAUGCUAAGAACUGUGAUUUUUCUUUUACGGGACUUCAACAUGUCAUUGAUAAGCUAAUAACACACAAGGAAAAAGAAGAAGGCAUUGAGAAGGGGCAAAUCCUGUCAUCAGCCGCAGACAUUGCUGCUGCGGUACAGCAUGCAACAGCGUGCCACCUUGCGAAAAGAACACAUCGUGCUAUUCUGUUUUGCCAGCAGAAAAAUUUGCUAUCUCCAGCUAACGCAGUAUUAGUUGUGUCUGGAGGUGUUGCAAGUAACUUGUACAUCCGAAGAGCAUUGGAAAUUGUAGCAAAUGCAACACAAUGCACUUUGUUGUGUCCCCCUCCGAGACUGUGCACUGACAAUGGUAUCAUGAUUGCAUGGAAUGGAAUUGAAAGAUUACGUGCUGGCUUGGGCAUUUUACAUGAUGUAGAAGACAUCCGAUACGAACCAAAAUGUCCUCUUGGAAUAGACAUAUCCAGAGAAGUUGCAGAAGCUGCCAUAAAAGUACCACGAUUAAAAAUGACACUUUGAUUUGUGAUUGUAAAGGUCUCUACAGAUUGCUGUUGGAAGACAGGGUGAGAGUGAAGAAAUAACAAGUAAAAGCAACAACCAGUUCCUGAACUCACGUCUUACAUUUGGAUUUGCAUUUUGCAUGUAAUUAUGAAUUAACUACUUGUAGUUUCCUAAGGAUACUACUAUCAGUACACAUAAACUAUGGAAGAAAAUUUACCAAAAUAUUUACUAUGAAUACAUUCAUUUGGGACAGCCUCACUCUAGCUCAGGCAAUACCUGAUGUGCGGUUAAAUUCCAUAUGAAACUCUGGGAAGAAAAUCUAUUCAGUAUUAAUAUAAAUAACUUCCAUUCAAACAACAACACAAAUUUCAUCCCCUGAAGAUGCUGUGUAUUUUUACCGCAAUAAAUAUCUGCUUUGAGAAAGACCA